UACAGAGGGGGCAAGCGUUGUUCGGAAUUACUGGGCGUAAAGGGCGCGUAGGCGGCCUGCUAAGUCGAACGUGAAAUCCCCGAGCUCAACUCGGGAACUGCGUCCGAUACUGGCAGGCUUGAAUCCGGGAGAGGGAUGCGGAAUUCCACGUGUAGCAGUGAAAUGCGUAGAUAUGUGGAGGAACACCGAUGGCGAAGGCAGCCCCCCUGGGUUAACACUGACGCUCAUGCACGAAAGCGUGGGGAGCAAACAGG
rnacentral:rRNA from 1 species